GCAUUGCUGAUGAGUCCCAAAACGGACGAAACACCUGUCCAGUAC
rfam:Echinostoma caproni strain Egypt genome assembly, scaffold: ECPE_scaffold0022909